rnacentral:lncRNA from 1 species
GGAUUAGUGCACUUCCGGCGUGCAGAGCUGCCUGCAGUCGACUGUUUGAAGCUUCGCAGUGUUCCCGGGCGAGAUGCAUCCUCAUCUUCAGUUCGGCGCCCAGUUGACCUUGGGGACGACUAUUAGGACCAGUCUGCAUUCGAUCGUAGAACUCUCCAAAACGCUGAUUGAAUUCUAAAUACUGGCUAAGAGUAAUGUUUCCUCUGUGAUACAGAAGCUCUGGAUUCCCAAAGCCUCAGGACCUAACUGAUAUCAGGCACUAUGCUCAUUCUACAAAGAGAUCAUGUUUGCAGAGUACUGACCACCAUCCAGGAAGAGAAGCUUUGUUUCUGAUGAGAACCUACUUCUGACCUACUGAAAGCUACAACUGCAAACAUAUGCACUGAGUGUCAUUAACACUGUUUCUUGAGGGGGAGUACGGUUCUGAGUGAAUCUGAAUGUGGGAAAUGAGGGAGAGAUGAUAUCUGAAAACCUCUGUAAGUUGCCUCAUGCUGCCUAAUAAAGAAUGAAUAAAGUAAGGAA